UAACACAUGCAAGUCGAACGGUAGCACAGAGGAGCUUGCUCCUUGGGUGACGAGUGGCGGACGGGUGAGUAAUGUCUGGGAAACUGCCCGAUGGAGGGGGAUAACUACUGGAAACGGUAGCUAAUACCGCAUAACGUCGCAAGACCAAAGAGGGGGACCUUCGGGCCUCUUGCCAUCGGAUGUGCCCAGAUGGGAUUAGCUAGUAGGUGGGGUAACGGCUCACCUAGGCGACGAUCCCUAGCUGGUCUGAGAGGAUGACCAGCCACACUGGAACUGAGACACGGUCCAGACUCCUACGGGAGGCAGCAGUGGGGAAUAUUGCACAAUGGGCGCAAGCCUGAUGCAGCCAUGCCGCGCGUAUCAAGAAGGCCUUCGGGUUGUAAAGUACUUUCAGCGAGGAGGAAGGUGUAGAGGUUAAUAACCUCAGCAAUUGACGUUACUCGCAGAAGAAGCACCGGCUAACUCCGUGCCAGCAGCCGCGGUAAUACGGAGGGUGCAAGCGUUAAUCGGAAUUACUGGGCGUAAAGCGCACGCAGGCGGUCUGUCAAGUCGGAUGUGAAAUCCCCGGGCUCAACCUGGGAACUGCAUCCGAAACUGGCAGGCUAGAGUCUUGUAGAGGGGGGUAGAAUUCCAGGUGUAGCGGUGAAAUGCGUAGAGAUCUGGAGGAAUACCGGUGGCGAAGGCGGCCCCCUGGACAAAGACUGACGCUCAGGUGCGAAAGGGUGGGGAGCAAACAGGAUUAGAUACCCUGGUAGUCCACGCCGUAAACGAUGUCGACUUGGAGGUUGUGCCCUUGAGGCGUGGCUUCCGGAGCUAACGCGUUAAGUCGACCGCCUGGGGAGUACGGCCGCAAGGUUAAAACUCAAAUGAAUUGACGGGGGCCCCGCACAAGCGGUGGAGCAUGUGGUUUAAUUCGAUGCAACGCGAAGAACCUUACCUACUCUUGACAUCCACGGAACUUGCCAGAGAUGGCUUGGUGCCUUCGGGAACCGUGAGACAGGUGCUGCAUGGCUGUCGUCAGCUCGUGUUGUGAAAUGUUGGGUUAAGUCCCGCAACGAGCGCAACCCUUAUCCUUUGUUGCCAGCGGUCCGGCCGGGAACUCAAAGGAGACUGCCAGUGAUAAACUGGAGGAAGGUGGGGAUGACGUCAAGUCAUCAUGGCCCUUACGAGUAGGGCUACACACGUGCUACAAUGGCAUAUACAAAGAGAAGCGACCUCGCGAGAGCAAGCGGACCUCAUAAAGUAUGUCGUAGUCCGGAUUGGAGUCUGCAACUCGACUCCAUGAAGUCGGAAUCGCUAGUUAUCGUGGAUCAGAAUGCCACGGUGAAUACGUUCCCGGGCCUUGUACACACCGCCCGUCACACCAUGGGAGUGGGUUGCAAAAGAAGUAGGUAGCUUAACCUUCGGGAGGGCGCUUACCACUUUGUGAUUCAUGACUGAGGUG
rnacentral:rRNA from 1 species